AAAAGGAAUAUUACACUUUAUUCGAAUAUAGUAUCAAAACUUAUAUAACACAGAGAUUUGAUAAUUUUUUAAUUGUUGAAUACUUUUUUUGUGCUAAUUUUUAUGUGAUUAAGAUUUAAUUGAUUUUGUAUAUAAAAUAUUAAAUUGUUUUACGAACUUAUUUGUUUAUAAUUUGGUAACAGAUAAAUAUUUGAGUAUUCAGUAUAUUUUGCUUCAGUUUAGGAAAUCUUUGAUGAUCCGUCUUUAGAUCCAAUAAGCCCUAUAAUCUAGAUACUAACUUGUAGUAUACCGCAUGUAGGCUUAUAUUUUAGUUAAACUAAAAAUUUU
rnacentral:sRNA from 1 species